rnacentral:lncRNA from 1 species
GUUACUGGUGCCCUCCAGGUCAGAGGGUGGCCACAGCCCUGGCUUGCCCAGCAGCCCACUACUGUCCCCAGGGAAGUGCAGUUCCUGAGCCCUGCCCCUCUGGAACCUUACAGGACAGAGAGAAACAGGCCACCUGCCAUAUCUGUGAAGCGGGUUAUUACUGUGACCUGAGGUUGGGCCUGGCGAAUGCCUCGGUGCUUCGGCCCUGCCCUAAAGGACAUUACUGCCCCCCAGGCACCGUCUUGGCCACCCAGAACCCCUGCCCCCCAGGCUCAUUCAACCCCAGAGAGCGAAUAGACCGCUUGACAGGCUGCAUGCUCUGUCCUCCAGGACAGUUCUGUCCUACCAUGGGACUCGCUGAACCUGCAGGUACCCCUGCCCCUGUGCCCUGUCCUUUGGGUACCUGGUCUAACAGUACUGGCCUGGCGAACCAGGAAGAGUGCCGACCCUGCCCUGGAGGACUCUACUGUGACUCUAUCAGCCUCACCGCUCCCACUGGGUCUUGCACUGGAGGAUAUUAUUGUCUUGAGAGAGCAGUGACACCCACUCCCACUGAUGGCCCUACAGGCGGACCCUGUCUAGAGGGUCACUAUUGUCCCGUAGGAACCACUCAGCCGUUGUCCUGUGAUCCAGGGACGUAUAUGAUUGUAACACAUGCAACUCAAUGUGAGCCCUGUACCCCUGGCUGGUAUUGUGUGUCAGGCACCCUACAACUGUGUCCUGCAGGUGGAGGACCAUGCCCUGCAGGUCACUACUGCCCUAGAGGCACCAUCGAUCCUCAACCUUGCCCCAUUGGCACAUUCAGCAACCUGACCAAACUAGUCUCCCAGGUAUAUUAGUUUCUCAAGGCUCAAUACGCUC